ACCUUUUUUCCCGGCGCUGGGGACUCUCCUCCUCCUUUCCCAGUCAUUGGCUGAAUGCGCAUGCGCAGCAAGAGCCGCGCGCGCAUUCAGCCGGUCUCAUAGGAAAGCAUUCUCAAUGCUUUGCUAUGGACGCUGGUGUCUUCUCACUGUGAAAAUCACAGUGAGAAGCGCGGAAGCGCCUCUGUGGACUGUCAAUGAGACAGUCACUAGAGGCUGGAUUAACCCAUUUGUAAACAUAGCAGUUUCUCUGAAACUGCUAUGUUUACAG